CAGCCGCCGCGGGAAUACGGAGGGUGCAAGCGUUAAUCGGAAUUACUGGGCGUAAAGCGCACGCAGGCGGUCUGACAAGUCAGAUGUGAAAUCCCCGGGCUUAACCUGGGAACUGCAUUUGAAACUGUCAGGCUGGAGUCUUGUAAAGGGGGGUGGAAUUCCAGGUGUAGCGGUGAAAUGCGUAGAGAUCUGGGGGAAUACCGGUGGCGAAGGCGGCCCCCUGGACAAAGACUGACGCUCAGGUGCGAAAGCGUGGGGAGCAAACAGGAUUAGAUACCCCGGUAGUCCCUGUCUCUUAUAC
rnacentral:rRNA from 1 species